rnacentral:ncRNA from 2 species
CGCUGUUCCAAGGGGUGCCCCGCGAGGGGGCUGAGAUUCCGCCGGUCGAGCCCAUAAGCCCGACAGCGCGGUGACCCUCCGAACCUGAUCCGGGUCAUGCCGGCGUAGGGAUGCGGGACAUCGGGUGC